GACGAACGCUGGCGGCGUGCCUAAUACAUGCAAGUCGAACGCAUUUUCUUUCACCGUAGCUUGCUACACCGAAAGAAAAUGAGUGGCGAACGGGUGAGUAACACGUGGGUAAACUGCCCAUCAGCGGGGGAUAACACUUGGAAACAGGUGCUAAUACCGCAUAAUUCCAUUUACCGCAUGGUAAAUGGAUGAAAGGCGCUUUUGCGUCACUGAUGGAUGGACCCGCGGUGCAUUAGCUAGUUGGUGGGGUAACGGCCUACCAAGGCUGCGAUGCAUAGCCGACUUGAGAGGGUGAUCGGCCACACUGGGACUGAGACACGGCCCAGACUCCUACGGGAGGCAGCAGUAGGGAAUCUUCGGCAAUGGACGCAAGUCUGACCGAGCAACGCCGCGUGAGUGAAGAAGGUUUUCGGAUUGUAAAACUCUGUUGUUAGAGAAGAACAAGGAUGAGAGUGGAAAGUUCAUCCCUUGACGGUAUCUAACCAGAAAGCCACGGCUAACUACGUG
rnacentral:rRNA from 1 species